UCAGGUUAAAUCUCAUCACUAAUUAUUUGUGUAUGGAAAAAUAUAUUAGCUCCAGAGGAAGAUCCUAAAAGUUCACCACAGAAGAGUUGGGCUGCUGAUGUCUAGUCAGUGCUACUAGCCCUGAAACCAUGAAGUCUAUUCUUCAUGGUUGGAAUUGUAUUUCUACCUGGAAUGACAUCUGUACAUAUCUUCCUGGAUGGCAGAGACUGCAGCACUGCCAGGCUCAACCAAGAGGCAGAUAAAAAACCAUACAAAAACCAAGGAAACACAGUAGCUGGUGCAGCAGAAGAGCUUUUGAGGAGGAUGAGGCAGGAACAGCUCUCAGACCAGGCUGCAGCCGCCUCUGGCUCCACUGGACUCAAAGGUGCAAUGGCAGCAGCAUCCAAAAUCUGCCAUCACAAGUGAUGAAACAUGUUUGUGACACUGAGCCUUGAUUUCCAUGAAAGUCUGAAAAAGUAAGGUAUGGAGGCACAACAAAGCAAGAAUCUAAGCAGCUUGGAAGAUGAUUUCCAAGAAAUACUGUGCAGGAACUCAUAAAUAAUAAAGACUUGCUAGUAAUCAAAAAACAGAGAGAUAGAACAAACUUUUGUCUUCUUGUAAACUGACACGACAAUGAUCCAUCAAAUCAUGGUUCUGCUGUGAUGGGCACAGCCUUGUUCCUGCAAACGUGAAAACCACUUGUGCAAGACUCUUCCACAAUUAAUUGUUACUGUCUAAUUGUAUGUUUGGGUUAUGACAUGUUUUCAUCUUCCUAUUGGCAUUUUUAAAAGCUGGAUUAUGAGCUAUGAUGAGAACAGCUAAUCCUUUACCUUCAGAAAUCCAAAAGUCUGAAAAAGGGGGAGGAGGCAACAGCUGGUUCUUUCUUGGGUUCCUACCAACACAGCAAGAUGGAACUUCUCCUGGCCAUUUUUCUCACCGUUUUGACUGGUAUUGUGGCAAUUGCUUUCUAUUAUGAGCACCCCAAAGCAGAAAUUCCUCAUGAAAUGAGUGAGCGCCAAAAGCUUUAUGCUCUUCAUUACUGCAUGAACUUUGGGCUUGGUCUGGCAACAUUUUUGGAUAAAGUAGGUGUCAUCUCAGAGGUCCAUCUCCUCAGGGUUAUAAUGGAGACAAUACCACCAUUAAAGGAUACACGUCUUCUUAUCAAGGACUUAAGGUUUGAAAGGGUUAAAGUGAGAAUUUACCAGCUAAAAACAUCAAACAAUAGCCAAAGAAGGGGAAUCCUUUAUUUUCAUGGAGGAGUUGGCCGGCUUGGAAGUAUCCGUAAGUAAUAUAAAUAAAAUGAGCUGUAACUGCA
rnacentral:lncRNA from 1 species